rnacentral:lncRNA from 1 species
GCAAAUUCUCCUUGGCUUGGCAGCGUGCUGUGCACUAUGCCAUUGGUGGUGACCUGCCCUGGGGACAGAGUCCGCUGCUGGCUGGUGGCAGUGCUUGGAUAUCAAAGCCACUGAGAACAUUGUGAAGCAUGGAGAGAAGGAAGAGCAUCACAGCUGAUGGAAAUUGGUCACCUCUGUGUGUUGCUACGUGGAUGGAUGAGGAUCCUGCUCUAAGCAAGAAUCUUGUCUUUAUCAGAAGCUCUGUCUGAUCAGAGAGAGAAUCCUGCCAAAAACAUGGGAGAGAUUUGGCUGGAACUAAAUGUAAGAAGUCAAUGGUAAAAGAAAAAAAGUCCAACAUCUGCUUAUUUACUGUGUGUCAGACUUUGUCUUCACUGGAAUUACUUUAGCUUUCCCUCUGCAGCUCAGAGCAGAGACUGCCUGAGCUUUUGUAGUCUGGCUUGAGUAGACAAGGUAGCUGAAUCAGUGUGUCUG